UUAAUAAUGUUGAGACAUACAGAAGAAACAUUUUGAGUUAUUUUAAAAUUCCAUUCCAUUAUACUGAGCAACAGAAUGACAGUUAUAAUUAAAUCGAUCUUUUACUAUUUUUGUUGUCUUCUGAAUAGUUAAAGGUAGGAGCUGUUUUGCUAGAACAGUGUGGUCUUCAGUUCAUUAGCUACCUUUUUUAAUUUAUUUUUUAAUUGGAGAAUAAUUGCUUUACAAUGUUGUGUUGGCUUCUGCCAUACAACAAUGUGAAUCAGUCAUUUUAUAUGUGUGUAUAUAUAUACAUAUAUACUCCCUCUUGAGCCUCCCCCCACAUCCUGUCCCUCUAGGGUCACAAAGCACAGAGGCUGACUCCCUGUGUUAUAAAGCAGCUUCCCACUAGCUAUCUAUUUUACACAUGAUAGUGUAUAUAUGGCAAUGCUACUUUCUUAGUUCCUCCCAACCCUCUCCUUCUGCUCCUGUGUCGACAAGUCUGGACACAUGACUCCACCCCAUCAUCUGUCUUAUGGUUCUUUAGAUCUUUAGUUGUAGACCUUUUCCAGAAGUUUCCAGUUUUUUUCAUCCAUGGUUGUUCUGCAAAUGGUUGUGACUUUGGUGUGCCUAUGAGAGGAGAUGAGGUCAGAUGAGUGUCUUUGUGCUCUAUCAUCUUGUGUGGUCUCCUGAAUUUAAUAUUGAGGAAAACCCUUGAAAAAGUACUCACGAGAUCCACUGGCCUUGAUGCCUCCUGAAAGAGUUUUAGUCUUGGAAUGGCUAAAGAUGUAGGAACAGAAUUCUGCCACUUGUUGUACAAACUUAGGAUCCAGAUCAUCAUUAUGCAGUGUCUCAAGCUGGGCAAGCUUCUUCUGUGUUUUCACCUUUGUGUUUGAUACACAAGGACUUAUGAAUGGAGGAAUUCUUUCUGGCUUUGGUACCAUCCUGGACCACAAAAGGAUACUGCAAGAGGUCGAUAGCCCCCUGGUCAAUUUUGUUCAUGGUGUUGUAUACAAAAGUACUACACAAUAGUAGUGCCAGUACAGAUAUAUGGGUGUCAUUUGUCUUGUCACCCUAGAAGUCAGAAUAAAUUUCAGUCAUGUCUCAUGACACUCCCAUAUGAACAGUUGCUAAAAAUAGACCCUUGAUCUACAAAUGUUAAACAGGACAAACUAAAAUGGUUGUGAGAAGCAUGGGAAAUUUAGUUCUGUCAUUAGCAUUGAUAAUUUUAUAUAAAACCAUAUUUUGUUAACUUAUCAGUCCCCCUUAUAACUGGUUAGGUAUUUGCAAAAUCAAUAGUCAAAGUUACUGAAGGUCACCAGAGUAGUUAAAAUCAAGAUUUUCAACUGUGUAAAACAAAGUUGGUCUGUAUGCAUAAUACAUGCAUCUAUUUUAUUGAGUAACUAUUAUAUACAUGGAAGUUCAUAUUACUGAUCUUAUCUGAUACUCAAAAACAAUGCUGUGAGAAUAAGGUUCUAACCACUGUCUCUAUGUUACAGGUAAGUAAACUAAAGCAAAAAUGGGUUGAUCAUUUUGAAUUGUGGUAAAUCAAAAGCAAAAUGAAGACAUGAAAAACAAGAGAAGUACAAUGGAAAGAUCCCAUUUUGUGCUCAAGCCAGCUCAUACCAGCUUACAGCAGCCGAUUGUGUACACCUUUUCUGAGCCUUGAGUUUAGUGACUUCACUUUGGUAGCUUGGAGUCAGCUGUGAUGGGAGCACUUAGAAAACUGGAAAGUACUACAAAUCAAGGCUUUUUUUCUUGCCAGAUAGAAGUGGGAAAAUAAUAUGUAUCUCCUGUGCAAAUGAUAAAAUGGAUGAGACCAAAGGGGAAAUAGGAGAUUUGAGGAGACUUAGUCUUGCUUGUCAAAGUCUUAAGAGCUGCAAGUACUAGGGUCCUGAUUUGGACUCAAGUUCUGCUGCCCUGAAGCCCACUGCUAACCUCUGGCCUCUGCAGGGUCACUCAUGACGGUAACUUUUUUUGCACCAUCUCUCUCUUCAGUUCGGUUAACUGCCUAGCUCCACAUUAGCAGUCUCCCAAUUGUGAUUCUGGCUUUCACACCUAUUUUUCUCACUUCAGGUUUCUAAAAUUUGACUAUUAAAAACAAAAAGGGGAAAAAACGUAUACCCUGGACAAGUAGAAGUAAAAAAAAAAGUCUCCCCAUGUAAAGAGUGUUCAGGGAUGAGGAGGUUGAUUAAAAAGAAAUUCUUGUUCCUUACCUUCUCUACGUCUCCGAGUCCCUCAGUGUCAAGAAGAACCAGGGUGUGGUUUGGUUUCUUGGGGUGAGGCACACACCACAUCCAGAUGCCCUUCGUGUGAGACUGCACUGUAGAUCCAACUGAGAAUCCUACAGGGGGAAUUGAGACGCUGUAAUAGAGGAGUGGAUCUGGAAACUGGAGACUGUCUUAAGUGAGCUACCAUUUAAGGAAAGCAAGAGGAAAAGCUCUUAUAAAGGAGAAAAAUGGAAAUCAAACAAGAAGGAGAUGUGCAAAGUAUGUGCCAUGAUAAUGAAGGAGGAAACAGACAGAACAGGCUCUAUCUUGAAAGUAAGACUCCAUCUUGGGCCAGACUGUGGACUUUGAGCUAUAUGCCCAGUAUCUAUGGAAACGACAAACCAACUGGAAAACCUGGCCCCCAGAAGGAAGAGCCCCAGGGCUUGUACCUAGACUCUCUGCUGCCUUAAAGAAUACCCUAAUUAUCUGUGUAAACUAAUAGAAUCAUACAUUCUAUUAUGCUUAUUAGGGUCUGACCACAGGCCUAUUGAUAAUUGUCCAUUGUUAAACUACCUAGGCUUAAGGCAUAUGAAUCA